GUAGAUUAUCUGCCCUCGGGACCGGGAUAGCUGCGGGAAACCGCAGGUAAUACCGGAUAACAUCUCCGGAUCAAAGGUGUGAUUCCGCCCGAGGAUGAGUCUGCGUCCUAUUAGCUUGUUGGUAGGGUAACGGCCUACCAAGGCAAUGAUGGGUAGCGGGUGUGAGAGCACGACCCGCGUCACUGGGACUGAGACACUGCCCAGACACCUACGGGUGGCUGCAGUCGAGGAUCUUCGGCAAUGGGCGCAAGCCUGACCGAGCGACGCCGCGUGCGGGAUGAAGGCUUUCGGGUUGUAAACCGCUGUCAGAGGGGAUGAAAUGUAGGUGGGUUCUCCCAUCUAUUUGACAUAGCCUCAGAGGAAGUACGGGCUAAGUUCGUGCCAGCAGCCGCGGUAAGACGAACCGUACGAACGUUAUUCGGAAUUACUGGGCUUAAAGGGUGCGUAGGCUGCGCGGAAAGUUGGGUGUGAAAUCCCUCGGCUCAACCGAGGAACUGCGCUCAAAACUACCGUGCUC
rnacentral:rRNA from 1 species